CUCUUAUCAAAAUAAUUGAAUUUCAUCAUUGAGUUCCAUUAUUCGGUUAUAAAUGAAUAAUGUACAAUAUUAUAGAGAGAGAGAAAAGAAAAUAUAAAACUAACAAGUAGAAGCAUAGAUGAAUUGAAAUUUUCUUUUUUUUUUUGGGCCUUUGUUAGGCAGAAAAAUACAUGCAUAACUAGUGUGAAUCCAAGAUUGCAUUAACAGUAAAAGCAUUCAUUUUAAUGAUUCGUGAAAAUACAAGACAAUAGAGAAUGUGAUGGCAAUUUCAUGGAUUGUAUCCAAUCAGUUGAUUCACUUUGGAAAAUGGCAAUCAUCUCAUCACGAAGAGAAACUCUAAUAUCGCCCAAAAGGAUAUGGAUGACGGAUUUUCAAGUGAAAGGAUAGAAGUUCGAAAACAGCAUACUGCCGAGAAAGAUGUAAGCUGUAGAAUAUGCCCAUAACAUGUAUCCCCAUCUCUUAUUCGUACCAUGAGACAUAAUAUGGGAUGCAAACCAAUAGAGGGGAGGACUAGCAGACAAGAAACGUGUAGCAACCUGCACAUGCAUGACGAGAAAUGCUGUGGCUGCCAUGAAACCCAAGUGCAAAGUGCAUGGAAUGAUAAAGGCAUGGAAGCAUUCUAGUUUCUGGAAUGAAUCAUGUUCUUUUUGGAGUGCAGGAUAAUCAUCCCCUUCAAUCAUCUGUUUCCUUUGCCUAAGAUUAUGAUUUUCUUGCAUUUUAGUAGAGAAUUUAUCCUCUGAGUUAGUAACGUUUUGUCCUGGAACUGUAUCUGGAGAAGAAAAUGAAUCUACAGACCUCUUUUGGCUAUUAGGAGCUUGAAAACCUAAAGAGAAAAAUAUCUCAGGUUGUGACCUCUCAUAGCGGAGAACGGAGACAAUCGCCAAAGACAGUAUUGGGGAUGCAAGCAGAAAUCUGGCAAUUGUUCCAACUGAAAAUAUUUCAACAAAACUACUUUCCUAGGAUCAAAAGACCCACAAAUGUUAGAAAACAAAUUGAGAAUUCAAACAUAUUAAUGGAGGUAUGAACCAAAGUCAAACCAUGCACAAAUAUAAAAUGAAGUACACAAUCUCAAAUCAUAUCAAAACCUAUGGAAACUUGAAAAUACUGAUGGAUAAAAUCAUUUUAUAUAAGAAGAUAAUCAAACAUGCUAGCUAUCAGCUAUGGAAUAACAAAAUCUUGAUAAGGUUAAAAAAAAACUAGAUUCAUUAGGAAUGAAAAUUUAAAACCAUUCCAGUUGUCAAAAGGUAAAAUGAAAUCUGACAUACUCGAUUUUUAGCAUACUACAAAAAGACUAACAUUGCUAUUAUGUUAUAGGAAAAUAAAAGGACAAGGGACUAUUAUUGGGAGUUCAAGAUGAAUGUACCAAUAGUUACUCUGAAAAAAAUUGUACAGCAUAUGUAUUUUGGAUUUGCACCAAGGCCUCAUUUCAUCCAGGUCACAUCCAUGACAAAUAUUGUAGUAGCCAUAUGCUUGAAAAGCAAUAAAGGGAAGAAAAGUACAUAUACAACGAAAUGCUCCAACUAUAAAAACCUUUACUGCCAACUAGCAUAGAAGUACAAAAUUACUAAGGAUACCAUCUUAUCUCAUGCACCAAUGCAGGCUGAAUGUAAUUUUUGCAAGAACUAUAUUGCAGUCAACAAGAACAUGAAACUUCAACAAACACAGUGACAUUCACAAAAUGUCAAUAAAAACAUCACGUUAAGUUAUUUUUAUGACUAAUUGAACAUGUAACAUGACGUAUAUUAUAUGCUAAAGCCUAAAAGUAAUGACUUAAUCAACCAGGACAUUGCCAUGUAAACAAACAGAAAUUCUUGAACAUACGUAAAACUUGUCAAUAAAGGAAAAUAGAAACUUACACGAGCAUCUUUUUUUAAGAACAAAUCAUGAUAAACUUGAUGCAUUGUCUGAAAACAGAAAUAGCCAGCAUUAAGCACUCCAUUAGACCUUGCACAACCAGAGAGAGCAAACCACAGAACAGCAAUAUUAUCUGAACCAGACAUUAAGUGAUACAACCCUCCAAGUGAGAAUAAAGAAUAUAAACUAUCUGAAUAUAUUGAAGAAUAAAAUAUGGAAGCUGGAUUGAAGCAAAACAAAAGUGAAGCCCGUAGUGCUGCUUCAUGAUCGUUCAAGAUAAUAGCUGAAAGCCUAUAAAGAUAAAUUGCUGCAAACACAAAUGCAACAUUAUUAACCGCAUAUCCGGCCAAUGCCAGGACAGCCCUGAGUCCAAUAAAAGGAACUAAUGGUGCGAACACUGUAUGAGACAAAACAAAAAUACAAAUGGGAAGCAGAGGCAAGAAGGCGUAAGACUGCUCAUACUCAUACCCACAUUCAGCAAUUCGAACAAAGUAGACACUAUCCCAUACAAUACUGUCCUCAAUUGUAGAGCCAAGCUGUGGCAAUAGACUGUUUUGGUUAUGAUUAUGAUGAUGGGUGAUGGAGUUUGAAGAGAGGCAAUUAGGGUUCAGGGGAGAGGAAGUGUCAUAGGGAUGAAGAACAGUGCGCCAGAGGAGGAAAAGCCCUAUAAGUAGGAGUCUAGAGCAGAUUGCAGAUUUGAGGAUUAUGGUUUGGUGGCUGUUGGGUGGAUUACUUCGUGAUGAUUUCAUUCUAUAUAUCAGAAUUCAUCACAUAGCAGAGAAAAGGGAAGAAACAACCGAUUGGAGAUUUGGAGAUAAAAUGAGAGGGUCGUUGCUAUUUCAAAAACCAGUAAUAGAGUGGGCCGCGAUAGGAUUAGGGAGACGACGGACAGAGGUAAUGGCAGAGAAUGGCGGUGGAGGAAGAAGACAAGGAUCCUCUCUGAAGGGCAAAACGGCGUCGCUUGCAAAAUAACUAGGGAGAAAUACUAAUUCACACUCAUACAAGUGAAAAUCCAACUAAAACAUUAGUUCUAUAACCCUUUGUUAUCUUGUAGGAGUACAUGUUGAUCACUUCCCACCAAUCUAAUCUGGUCGGACGCUGGUCUUCAUCGUUCGGACAACAUAUUUUUAAUCAAAUAUUUACCUAUAUUCCCAUUAGUGUAGACAUACCUAUCCUGACACUAUUCACGUGCUGCUCAUCUGCGACACUCCCAAUAUUAGAGAAUAUCAUCGAAGCUCCCCGGUAUCAGAGAACAUCAUCAAG
rnacentral:misc_RNA from 1 species